GCGUGCCACCAUGCCCAGCUAAUUUUUUCUAUUUUUACAUUAGAUUAUAAAAACUUCCUCUUUAAUCAAGGUUUAUAACAUGAACAGAUUUCUUGAAUAAAAUGGAAAGUUUCCAGUACGCUGAAACAUAAAUCCACAAGUCACCAUACAUACAACACCCGGCAGAAAAAAA